UACGGGGGGUGCGAGCGUUGUCCGGAAUCACUGGGCGUAAAGGGCGCGUAGGUGGUCUGAUAAGGGUGUGGUGAAAGCCCGGGGCUCAACCCCGGGUCGGCCGUGCCGACUGUUGGAUUAGAGUGCUGUAGGGGCAGGCGGAAUUCCGGGUGUAGCGGUGGAAUGCGUAGAGAUCCGGAGGAAGACCGGUGGCGAAGGCGGCCUGCUGGGCAGUUACUGACACUGAGGCGCGACAGCGUGGGGAGCAAACAGG
rnacentral:rRNA from 1 species